UGGCGGACGGGUGAGUAAUGUCUGGGAAACUGCCUGAUGGAGGGGGAUAACUACUGGAAACGGUAGCUAAUACCGCAUAACGUCGCAAGACCAAAGAGGGGGACCUUCGGGCCUCUUGCCAUCGGAUGUGCCCAGAUGGGAUUAGCUAGUAGGUAGGGUAACGGCUCACCUAGGCGACGAUCCCUAGCUGGUCUGAGAGGAUGACCAGCCACACUGGAACUGAGACACGGUCCAGACUCCUACGGGAGGCAGCAUG
rnacentral:rRNA from 1 species